AUCCGGGUCGCCUGUGGCAAGCACUUUCGGAUGGAAGAACUGUUGAGACGCGCCAAUUCAUUCACCCAGAAGCCAAAGACUUUGAGACCCUGAAAUGCUGCCGAUGUGGGAAUGCGGUAGAAAAUGAAAUGUAGAAUGUAGAAAAUGUUUUGAAUGAAUGUCCGUUUACCAGGCUACCCCAAUGCCGCCGGCACAAUAUUAUUGCGGACUAGCUCGGAAAAGCUCUCGUAGACAACGGCUGGAAAGUAUGGCGAGAACGGCUCGUACGGAAAGAAUUAGACAUUUUUAAGCCCGACCUGAUUUGCAGGAAGGGUACCGAAGGAGCGAUCAUAGAGGUCACAGUACCCUAUGAAUCGAAUGAGAAUGUUAUACCAGCAAGAAAACGGUUCAAAGAAGCCAAAUAUGCAGGUCUGAUGUGUCAAGUCGCUGAACUACUAAACGUUAAUGGCGGUGUUAAAGUCGUUGGGAUGGCUGUGGGUGCUCUCAGCACGGUCCUGACCUCGACUCUAGAAAUUUGAAAGGACUCGGACCUGAUCCAGUCAAGGUUGGUAAAGAAUUGCAAAUUUCAUCGCUCCGAGAAUCAGGCCUGGUUUGGAAGGCCUGCCGGAGUUAAGGCCCACUGCCUAGUGCCACCCCUUUUGACACUAGCGCUACGCUAGGCAAGUAUUAGGGUCAGUAAAAUGAGCCUAGUGGAAAAAUUAAGGAAUUGACGAAAGGGCAACACCAGGAGUGGAGCCUGCGGCUUAAUUUGACUCAACACGGGAAAACUCACCCGGCCCGGACACUGUUAGGAUUGACAGAUUGAGAGCUCUUUCUUGAUUCGGUGGGUGGUGGUGCAUGGCCGUUCUUAGUUGGUGGAGCGAUUUGUCUGGUUAAUUCCGAUAACGAACAAGACUCUUGCCUGCUAAAUAGUACGCCGAUACCUUUUCGUUGGUGCUGACUUCUUAGAGGGACAAGCGUCUUGAAGACGCACGAGAUUGAGCAAUAACAGGUCUGUGAUGCCCUUAGAUGUUCGGAGCCGCACGCGCGCUACACUGAAGGGGACAGCGAGUUUUUGCUGUUUCGAAAGAACCGGGUAAUCUGUUGAAUUCCCUUCGUGACAGGGAUCGGGGCUUGCAAUUAUUCCCCGUGAACGAGGAAUUCCCAGUAAGCGCAAGUCAUCAGCUUGCGUUGAUUACGUCCCUGCCCUUUGUACACACCGCCCGUCGCUACUACCGAUUGAAUGGUUUAGCAAGGUCCUCGGAUUGGUGCCGACUUGGUGGCAACACUAGGUUGGAUACUGAAAAGAAGAUCAAACUUGAUCAUUUAGAGGAAGUAAAAGUCGUAACAAGGUUUCCGUGGGUGAACCUGCGAAAGGAU
rnacentral:rRNA from 1 species